AAAGCUUGCUUUUGGUGUUUCUAGCGGCGGACGGGUGAGUAACGCGUGAGCAAUCUGUCUCAGACAGGGGGAUAACGCAGCGAAAGUUGCACUAAUACCGCAUAAGACCACAGAGCCACAUGGCAUAGGGGUCAAAGGAGCAAUCCGGUCUGAGGUGAGCUCGCGUCCCAUUAGGUAGUUGGUGAGGUAACGGCCCACCAAGCCUGCGAUGGGUAGCCGGACUGAGAGGAAGGUCCCCACAUUGGAACUGAGACACGGUCCAAACUCC
rnacentral:rRNA from 1 species